AAACAUGGAAUUAUUUUGGCCAUUGAUUGAUCAUUGGUUUAAUCCAAAGGCCCAAAAGCAUUCUUUUGUUAUCUCCGUAUUCUCUUCUCAUUGGUUGAUCUUGCACAAGAAGGAUUAUCAUUUCUGACCACUGAUUUUUAAUCCAAUGGCUCAAAAACAUUCAUUUGUGAUUUCUUCUCUUUUCUCGUUGGCCAACUCUUAUCUUCUUCUCUCUUUUCCAUCCAGAAUUCACCACCACAAAGUCUUUCUUCUCCACUUCAAUCUGCAAAUACACAUGAGAUCCAAAUACACAUCACUCCUAUACGCUCCUCCUCUCCUCCUAUCCGGAUGGUCCUUCUCCUCCCUGAUGCCUACUCCGUGAAGCUUCCUCUGUGCUACUCCUCCGGUCGCCUUCUCCGUGAAGCCUCGUCCUCUGGUUCGGUGGCGAAGAUGAAGGCGUGAAAGGAGACGACGUCAUGAAGAAGGAAGAAGAAGAUGCAGCGGAGAUGACAGAGGAAGAAGACGAUGCGGCGGAGAUGGUGGUAGUGACGAACCAGACACGGAGGCAGAGGUGGAUGUGGUUCAGAGAAAGGUGUUUUGAGCCUGAGGCAUGAAGCACGAGGGGCGGAGCACGAGGACGCGGAAGCAAGACGUAGCAUAUGCGGUGGUGCUUGUGGAAGGCGGCGGAUUAGGUUUAGGAUUGGUUAAUUAGGUUUUGGUUUAAUGUGUGUUUACUUAGUGUUUGGUUUAAUUUGUUCUGGUUUAUUUUUUUUUU
rnacentral:lncRNA from 1 species